rnacentral:rRNA from 1 species
GACAGAGGGGGCAAGCGUUGCUCGGAAUUACUGGGCGUAAAGGGCGCGUAGGCGGGAUGGCAAGUCGGUCGUGAAAUCCCUCGGCUCAACCGAGGAACGUCGAUCGAUACUGCUGUUCUUGAGGAUUGCAGAGGAGACUGGAAUUCCCGGUGUAGCGGUGAAAUUCGUAGAUAUUGGGAGGAAUACCGGUGGCGAAGGCGAGCAUCUGGACGAUGACUGACGCUGAGGCGCGAAGCGUGGGGAGCAAACAGG